UACGGGGGGGGCAAGCGUUGUUCGGAAUUACUGGGCGUAAAGCGCGCGUAGGCGGCUUUUCAAGUCGGGCGUGAAAGCCCCGGGCUUAACCCGGGAAUGGCGCUCGAUACUGUUGAGCUAGAGUGUGGAAGGGGCUACUGGAAUUCCGUGUGUAGCGGUGAAAUGCGCAGAUAUCGGGAGGAACACCAAUGGCGAAGGCAGCUCGCUGGGACGUUACUGACGCUGAGACGCGAAAGCGUGGGGAGCAACAGG
rnacentral:rRNA from 1 species